CAGGGAAUUAAACCUGUAACCUUUUGGUGUAUGGGACAAAGCUCCAAACAACUGAGCCACCCAGCCAGGGCAUAAGCUGAAUUUUAUAAAUGCCUCUUUGAAUAUUUUAAACAUAUACACACAGAGUUUACUGCACACCUGAGGUAUUUAAGAUGUAUAUAAAGUCUUGAUUGAGUCUCCUUUACACAGAAGUGGUUUGAUUUUCUCUUUGGUUCUUGGUAAUGGUGGCAGUAAAAAUAGAAAGGCAAAUAUGUAUACCAAUGAUUUCAGAUGUUUUCCUUCAUUUUUACUUCCAGUGGUCAGGAAGACAGCUGGACAGGAUACAAAAUUAUUGACUUCCAAAUUCACAGUAUUUUGAACUUUGUUGUUUGCCAGCCUACUGUUGAUCUCCACAUAUGACCACUCUUGUUUUCCAUCUGGUGGAUGUAGAGACAAAGGAAGGGAUACGGGUAUAAUCAAAUACCCUCAAGCAUCUUGAAGAGGUCAACUGGGAAGUAAACAGUUUGGUUCUAGUUCCACUGUUACCACAGGAACAACUGAAAUCUGAAAUCAUAUUUGCCUCAGUAGUAAAUGUCCUUAAAAUACUGAGCAAUAAGGACCAUCAGUAAGAAAAGUAAUCAAGGUCAGGGCCAAACCAUCUGCUGGAGCGAAAUGUUUAAAACUUACAAUGAGUCAUUAAUUAGGCUUAGAAAAUAGCCUGCCAUUACACUGUUUUGUGUGUUUUCCAUGCAUAAUUUGUUCCCCUGCAUUUUUUAAUUCUCUCAGAGAUCAGACCAUCCUCUGGAAAAGUGUUAACUUCCUGGAGAGGUAGCACAAACACUAUUAUGUUUUGUUAAUUUUUCAUCUCAUGGAUUUAAUAAACUGUUUGACUGUUAGAAUCUGUAAGAAAUAACAUUAAUCUAAAGCCAUCUCCUAUUUUGGUCCUAAAACUGUGACUCUCGUGCUGACUCUGUUUCUUCUGAUGAGAUUGGGAGAACAGUGCCAGAUUGAUUAAUUUUGUUUUUAAGUGUUGUGAAGACAAUUGAGCCGUGAGAAGUUGACAUUUUGAACUGGCAAACAGCUUGGGCACUUAGGCACAAUUCCAGCUAAAUUAUCCUAAGAACACUCCUCCAACAUAGGAAUUCCAGUGGAAUAAGAGAUGGUAACACAAGAUGCACCAGGAGACUCGAGGUUUUGUGUGUUUGAAACUUAUAUUCUACUAUAAUGACUAAAUUGUAGAGAAGCAAAACUAAUGUGUGUGUGUUUUUUUAAAUUUACCCAAUGUUUUUUUGGUUCUGUCUUCUAGGAGCAGACAAACUUCUUUUGUGUUUUGUUUGUUUGCUUGCUUGUUUUUAAAAGUUCACUCUUAAAUUUUAUAAAACAAUGUAAGACAAGUAAAAUUAAAGUUCUACUACAUUGGAACAAUACAUUUCUUCAAAAUAGAAAUGCUGAAGGCAUGUAAAGAUAUAAA